AACGAACGCUGGCGGCAUGCCUAACACAUGCAAGUCGAACGAGAUCUUCGGGUCUAGUGGCGCACGGGUGCGUAACGCGUGGGAAUCUGCCCUUUGGUUCGGAAUAACAGUUGGAAACGACUGCUAAUACCGGAUGAUGACGAAAGUCCAAAGAUUUAUCGCCAGAGGAUGAGCCCGCGUAGGAUUAGCUAGUUGGUGUGGUAAUGGCGCACCAAGGCGAUGAUCCUUAGCUGGUCUGAGAGGAUGAUCAGCCACACUGGGACUGAGACACGGCCCAGACUCCUACGGGAGGCAGCAGUGGGGAAUAUUGGACAAUGGGCGAAAGCCUGAUCCAGCAAUGCCGCGUGAGUGAUGAAGGCCUUAGGGUUGUAAAGCUCUUUUACCCGGGAUGAUAAUGACAGUACCGGGAGAAUAAGCUCCGGCUAACUCCGUGCCAGCAGCCGCCGUAA
rnacentral:rRNA from 1 species